CUUUCCUUGAUGACGACUGGCGCACGGGUGAGUAACGCGUAUCCAACCUUCCCAUAACUACGGGAUAACCCGUUGAAAGACGGCCUAAUACCGUAUGAUAUCGUUUGCUGACAUCAAAUAACGAUUAAAGGUUUAGCGGUUAUGGAUGGGGAUGCGUCUGAUUAGCUUGUUGGCGGGGUAACGGCCCACCAAGGCUACGAUCAGUAGGGGUUCUGAGAGGAAGGUCCCCCACAUUGGAACUGAGACACGGUCCAAACUCCUACGGGAGGCAGCAGCC
rnacentral:rRNA from 1 species